CUCAAAAAUGCUAUAUGUCUUUUACAUUCUAUCAAAAAAUAUAUUACAAUCAAUAACUCUAUCUUAUCUAUUUAUUAUCUCUUCUCCUCUCUAAACUUAUGAUAACAAUAGGUAAUAUUAUACUAUCUUAAAAGACUGCAUAAAACAUUCCAUAAACUAAUCACUGAAAUUUUCCAAACUAACUAUCAUUUCCAAUAAUCCGCUUUACAUAAUUCUAGACUCUACAUACUUCUUCUUGAAUCUCAAUAUUCAAUGUAUUAUAAUUCUUCCAAUCAUAUCCAUACUUCACAAACAUCUUUC
rnacentral:lncRNA from 1 species